rnacentral:rRNA from 1 species
AUUGAACGCUGGCGGCAGGCCUAACACAUGCAAGUCGAACGAGUGGCGGACGGGUGAGUAAUGUAUCGGAACGUGCCUGGUAGAGGGGGAUAACUACUGGAAACUAUUGCUAAUCCCGCAUUCUAGAGGAUAGGCCGAUAUGGGAUUAGCUAGUUGGUGGGGUAAAGGCUCACCAAGGCGACGAUCCGUAGCUGGUGUGAGAGGACGACCAGCCACACUGGAACUGAGACACGGUCCAGACUCCUACGGGAGGCAGCAGUGGGGAAUAUUGGACAAUGGGCGAAAGCCUGAUCCAGCCAUGCCGCGUGUAUGAAGAAGGCCUUCGGGUUGUAAAGCACUUUUAGCUGGGAGGCGUUAUCAGCAGAAUAAGCACCGGCUAACUACGUGCCAGCAGCCGCGGUAAUAC